AGAGCGAACGCUGGCGGCGUGCUUAACACAUGCAAGUCGAACGCGCAGCAUUCUGUAGCAAUACAGGGUGUGGGCGCGUGGCGAACGGGUGCGUAACACGUGGAUAACCUUCCUUCGGGUGGGGAAUAACCCAGUGAAAAUUGGGCUAAUACCGCAUAACAUCGCGAUGGCACAUGCCGUUGCGUUCAAAGGCGCAAGUCGCCAGAAGAGGGAUCCGCGGCCGAUUAGCUUGUUGGCGGGGUAACGGCCCACCAAGGCUUUGAUCGGUAGCCGGACUGAGAGGUUGGCCGGCCACACUGGGACUGAGACACGGUCCAGACUCCUACGGGAGGCAGCAGUGGGGAAUCUUGCACAAUGGACGAAAGUCUGAUGCAGCAACGCCGCGUGGGGAUGAAGCUUCUCGGAGUGUAAACCCCUUUCGACCCGGACGAAUGCCCGCAAGGGUUGACGGUACGGGUAUAAGAAGCCCGGCUAACUACGUGCCAGCAGCCGC
rnacentral:rRNA from 1 species